AACCUGUGCCCGUGGCCGUCCACACCUGUGGUUCUGUUCACAGCCUUUGCUUCCCCACCUGCCUCACUCACCGGGGACACCUGUGUACCUAUAAAAGCCCCCACCUGGGCUCUCCCCUCCCUUUGGUCUCUGCCCCUCUCAGAGGAGGGCAGGGAGCUGUGUUUUUAGGGCUAAAGCUUUGUGGUUUUAGCCCUGGAUCCUGGGACUGGAUGCCUUACCUGCCUUUGGAAAGAAGGGGGCUGUGUUCCUGCUGUUCCUGCUCUUGGGUUUUUUUAUUAAAAGGAAGAAGCCUGGAAACAUGCCCUGAGCUGAAAGUUUGAAGAGGAGUACAGAGUGUCCCCGAAUUUGGGCUGCACCAGGACAUGCCCCGUGGCAUCCACUAACUCCUGUUAUCGGGCUGAGACUUUUUGGGAGCGAGCUGUGAGCCCAGCAGGAUGCCCACCAGGCUGAACCGGGACUGGGAAGCACCAGGAAGGACAAAGUGCCUCUGCCUGGAGGCAGGUUUCGGGUUCGCUGCGGCAGCCGUGGGAGACUAUUGGAUUACAGGGCAGCCCGGAGCCAGGUUUUGCUCUCUUCAGGCUCAGGACAGAGGGGAGUUGGAUGCCUGCCUGCCAAAGCUGGCACCAAGACACCCAAAAUGAGGUGGACAGUGCCGGAGAGAUCUAGCUGAGAGAGGCUGAGGGGAUGGGAGAUGGCAUGAGCCACCAGGACAGGGACAGCACUUCCCAGAGCCACCAGUUGGGACAGCCCGGAGCUGGCCAACACCUCCACCGAGCUUCAGCAGCACCUCUUCCCCGGGGAGCUCAGACCUGCGGCUGCUCUCGAGACCUUCCCUGGGGAGCAAGGGACAGCCCAGCCCAUGGCACCGUGUCCGUGUUUGAGCAGGAGCUGCGGCAGCGGACCCCAGGGAGGCUGCAGGUCAGGGGAUGCUGCAGGGGCUCCAGGCUGGAGGAGGGAAGGGGAUUGCAGGUGGCUAUGGGGACGAGGGCAUCCGGGCUGUUCCUACACACCUGGCUGGCUUGCUUCACCUCCAGGGAGCCCGUGGGAUGGGGGCAGGAUGCCACAAGCUCAGCUCCCACGUGCAGGGAGGUGACAUCAGGGCUGGCGCUGGGGCAUCCCCCUUUGGGCUCCUUGGCUCUUGCUAGGUCCCAAACACGUGGGAUCUUGGCUGCAAGGGGGCUCUUUUGUGACAACCUGGGUCAGCAAUCACAUCAAGGGCUGUGGGGAGAGGCUGGCAGCCUUUGGCCAUGGGCAGACCUGGGACAGAGGAUGUGGGUGUCCCCAACCCCAUCCAUCCCUGUCCUCGGGCACCUUCCCCACCAGCCCCAGUGCCCAACUGGGAAGGGACUUGAGCCAAUGAACCCACUCAGCCCAGCAGGCUCAUUAUCACCCUGGUUUUAUUGCACCUCCAGGCCCGGGCACCCUCUCCCCUCAGUCACGUCUCGCUCUCUGCAGCAUAUUAAAUCCCCGAGGGCUGCCCGGGCAAAAUUGCCGCUGCUCCAUUACUCUGCUGUCAGCAUCCGCCACCCUCGUGAGAAUCAGGCUCCGCAUCAGAAAAUAAUAAAGGCGAUGUUAUGAGCAGAGGGGAGAGGAGAUUAAAAACCUGUUUGAAGAGCCUGCCGGUCCCU